rnacentral:tRNA from 1 species
UAGUUUUUGGUGUACGGCACAUUAAAUUUUGAGUUUAAAGGAAAUGAAUCACUUUCAUUAAAAUUAA